rnacentral:rRNA from 1 species
UACGUAGGGGGCGAGCGUUGUCCGAAGUUACUGGGCGUAAAGAGCGCGCAGGCGGUCGUUCAAGUCGCGUGUGAAAGCCCCCGGCUCAACUGGGGAGGGUCACGCGAUACUGAUCGACUCGAAGGCAGGAGAGGGUAGUGGAAUUCCAGGUGUAGCGGUGAAAUGCGUAGAUAUCUGGAGGAACACCGGUGGCGAAGGCGGCAUCCUGGACCGGCAUUGACGCUGAGGCGCGAAAGCUAGGGGAGCAAACGGG